CAUUCUAGGAACUGUAUUAUAGUUCACACGCCGCAAAUUGGGUUUAGAUGUCAGCAACAAUGCUAUCUGUAACAGUCAGUUCAUUUGUGCACUUGUUCCUUUUUAAAAUAGUGGUUUUCGCUUCAACUUCAAAAAGGUUAAACCCAAGAGCGCAGGUGUUCAGUCGACAUGCAUUUGGUUGUUGCACGUACAGUGUAUUCGAAGAAACACGCAGCUCUGUGCCGAAAGUGAUGAUGACUGCUGUUCCGGGAUUGCUGCUUUUUUGCCUUUUUGGAUAUUCUUUAGUGACAUCCGAUUUUGUGUGCCCAAGGAGGACAGCGUGUGACCCGUUGAGCUUCAAAAGUCAUCGCAUGUAUCUUAGCUGCAUAGCACCGUGCCCGAAUGCUACAGGGUUCGGAUACCUUGAAGAUGGCGCCUGGUGUUUCGUGUCCCUUGGUGAAACAGGCCGCGGCGGCAACCUUGGUGGAUGCAAACGUGGCGUCUGCGUACCCAAUCCCGAUGGACCAUUCAUAUGAUGUAGUCCCAGGAUCAUACUGAAUAAAACUUUCGCCGU